UAGGGAAUAUUAGUAAUGGGCGAAAGCCUGAACUAGCGACACCGCGUGUGCGAAGAAGGCCUUCGGGUUGUAAAGCACUUUUAGAGAGGAUGAGGAAGGACGGUACUCUCUGAAUAAGUCUCGGCUAACUACGUGCCAGCAGCCGCGGUAACACGUAGGAGGCAAACGUUAUCCGGAUCUACUGGGCGUAAAGCGCGUGUAGGUGGUUCUGUAAGUAGGGCGUGAAAGCUCCCGGCUCAACUGGGAGAGGCCGUUCUAAACUGCAGAGCUAGAGGAUGGUAGAGGGAGGUGGAAUUCCGGGUGUAGCGGUGGAAUGCGCAGAUAUCCGGAGGAACACCAGUGGCGAAGGCGACCUCCUGGGCCACUCCUGACACUCAGACGCGAAAGCUAGGGUAGCAAACG
rnacentral:rRNA from 1 species